UACGUAGGGCGCAAGCGUUGUCCGGAAUUAUUGGGCGUAAAGAGCUCGUAGGCGGCCUGUUGCGUCCGCUGUGAAAAGCCCCGGGGCUUAACCCCGGGUCUGCAGUGGAUACGGGCAGGCUAGAGGUAGGUAGGGGAGAAUGGAAUUCCCGGUGUAGCGGUGAAAUGCGCAGAUAUCGGGAGGAACACCGGUGGCGAAGGCGGUUCUCUGGGCCUGUUCUGACGCUGAGGAGCGAAAGCGUGGGGAGCGAAACAGGAUUGAGAU
rnacentral:rRNA from 1 species